rnacentral:lncRNA from 1 species
CCCCUCCGUUCCCGCCGGCGCGCAGGUGUGAGGGCGCGGCCGUGACAUGGCGCCCCCGCUGGCGGGCGGGAGCGCGCGCGGCCGCGGGGAGAUGGAGCCCGGAGCAGCGCUUUAAAGCCCGAGGUGCCGAUCCUGCGGGACGGAACUUGUUGGAGGUGGUAGGCGGUGCACCGGGUCAGGUUGCUCCGAGGCCCAAAUCGCCCCGGCUCCCUCUGCUUGCACGGUGCUGUCCUGCGGCCGCGGCUCUGUGAGCCCUCAGUGCCCGGGUCUUGCUGUCUGCCCGGGGCUCGUUCUUCGCUCCAGCUCUGCCUUGUGCUCCAGCAGCGCCCUGCCGGUGGCGGGGGGGAGCGGUGUCCUCUGAGCUCCCCGUGUGCGCCCGGAGCCCUGCCAGCAGCGCAUGGAUGGAGGGGCUGUUUCCCUGAAGACGUGAAGCUGAGCUCCCGCGGGCAGAGCUGCCCCUGCACGAGGCGCUGCCCCGAGGACGCUGCUGCAGCCCCCGCCCCGGAGACAUCGCCGUGCCCCGGGCCUGCUGCACCGAGACCGCUGCGGGAGCUGUGCUGGGUGCCGUGCUGUCACCUCAAGAAGAACUCUACCUUAAAGGCAACAACUAAAUGAGGUGCAGAAGCCGGAGUUGAUGAGAGGAGGAUUUUUCUUGCUUGCAAGUCUCGGACACAGGUUGUAGAGGUAAGAUGCACUUCUCCCUAUGUGACUGAGGGCUCUGAUUGCUGCUGGAGGGAGGAACUUGGUCCUCACUUUGAAAAUUUCAUGGCUACCUGGUGCUACUCUGGGGAAAAGCAAGGCACCGGAUAUACAGAGCUAAACGAGUUCAGCAGUAGAGGCUUUUCAGCCAAUAAUCCCCCAUCACUUUUCCUCCUGCUUUAUUGCUCUUAUUGCAAGCAGCGUUUGCUCGGCGUGGAGCUCAGCUCCCCGGGCCCUGCUGCAGGGCUGCUCGUUCCCUCGUGGUGAGGGACUGUGCUGGUGAUGGGGCCUGGGCGUCAGCGCUGUGUUCUGGCUCUGCCCAUGGGGCCAGAAGGUCGAGAGCCUCGUGUGAGUGGAGGUUUGGGUGCAUCAGUCUGUUCCAUGAACAUCUCGAUGUGUUCCUAAGGACAGUGAAGUAGCACAUGUACUCUGCCAGUGCUUUACCAUCUACCUUCCAAUGCAGAAGCUUCUACUCGAUCAGGUUGUGUGCUGACUGGCCCUAUAAGGAAUUUCCUGGUGGUGCUCAGUGCUGUUCAGUGCCUGUUUCCCCGUUAAGGCUCUGAGAUACCCAGUGCAUGCUUACAGGGUGGUGGUCCAUGCACAUGCCGUGUGCCACGUCCCAAAUCAUGGCAUCUCUGCUGCUGCCCAGGACGCUUUGGUCAACGUAAAUCAAAAGGGCCCUAAAUUACUUCAGUGAUAUUUAAAACAAAACCCCAAACAAAUAAUAAAACCUAACACUUCCAUAUAACUGUUCUCA